UGGGGAAUAUUGCACAAUGGGCGAAAGCCUGAUGCAGCAACGCCGCGUGAGUGAUGAAGGUCUUCGGAUUGUAAAGCUCUGUCUUUUGGGACGAUAAUGACGGUACCAAAGGAGGAAGCCACGGCUAACUACGUGCCAGCAGCCGCGGUAAUACGUAGGUGGCGAGCGUUGUCCGGAUUUACUGGGCGUAAAGGGUGCGUAGGCGGAUGUUUAAGUGAGAUGUGAAAUACCCGGGCUUAACUUGGGUGCUGCAUUUCAAACUGGAUAUCUAGAGUGCAGGAGAGGAGAAUGGAAUUCCUAGUGUAGCGGUGAAAUGCGUAGAGAUUAGGAAGAACACCAGUGGCGAAGGCGAUUCUCUGGACUGUAACUGACGCUGAGGCACGAAAGCGUGGGUAGCAACAGGAUUAGAUACCCUGGUAGUCCACGCCGUAAACGAUGAGUACUAGGUGUAGGAGGUAUCGACCCCUUCUGUGCCGCAGUAAACACAUUAAGUACUCCGCCUGGGAAGUACGAUCGCAAGAUUAAAACUCUAAAUGAAUUGAC
rnacentral:rRNA from 1 species